rnacentral:rRNA from 1 species
UAUGUGAUCGUCUCUCGCAUAUCAAUAAGCGGAGGAAAAGAAAAUAACAAGGAUUUCCCCUAGUAACGGCGAGUGAAGCAGGGAAAGAGCUCAAAUUUGAACCUGCUUGACUUAGGUUAAUCCGGAUUGUAACUGUAAGAACGUGUUUUCUAGUGCAGGUCUGAGUUAAAAGUCCUUUGGAACUAGGGACAUCAUAGAGGGUGAGAAUCCCGUCUUUGACUCUAGUACUUUGUCAACUUUUGAUGAUACACUUUCCAAGAGUCAGGAUUGUUUGGGAAUGCAGUCCUAAAUUGGGUGGUAAAUCUCAUCCUAAAGCUAAAUAUUGGCGAGAGACCGAUAGGCGAACAAGUACCGUGAGGGAAAGAUGAAAAGAACUUUGAAAAGAGAGUUAAACAGUACGUGAAAUUGUCAAAAGGGAAGCGUUUGACACCAGUGUUGUUUUUCUGAAAAUCAAUUAAAGAACUGUUUAUGCUAAGUUGUUUAGACUUUAUCAGCUAACUGUUUAGUUUUGAGCUUUUCUUUAAUGCACUUUUCAGUUAACAAGUCAACAUCAAUUUCUUCUGCUGUAAAAAAGCUUGAGGAAGGUGGCUUGAGAUUCGUCUUAAGUGUUUAUAGCCUCUUGCCUAUGCAGUCGGAGAGAUUGAGGUCUGCAGCGUAGAUCCUUCGGGGCUAAAUGCAUUUGUGCUAAGUUAUAGCAUUUUAUAGACAUCUUGUUGACUAUGAUUUGUCUUGUAGCUUACUCGCUUAUGUUAUUUUACCUACGCUUAGGAUGUUGAAGAUAUGCGCGACACG